rnacentral:rRNA from 1 species
UACGUAGGGUGCAAGCGUUAAUCGGAAUUACUGGGCGUAAAGCGUGCGCAGGCGGUUUUGUAAGCCAGAUAGUGGAAAGCCCCGGGCUCAACCUGGGAAUGGCAUUUGGGACUGCAAGGCUGGAGUUUGGCAGAAGGAGCUGGAAUUCUGGUGGAUAGCAGUGAAAUGCGUAGAUAUCAGGAGGAAUACCGAUGGCGAAGGCAGGUCUCUGGGCUAUAACUGCGCUCAUG